CCCCUAGUAACUGCGAGUGAAGCGGGAAGAGCUCAAAUUUUGAAUCUGGCGGUUUUUGACCGUCCGAGUUGUAAUCUAGAGAAGCGUCUUCCGCGCUGGACCAUGUACAAGUCUCCUGGAAGGGAGCGUCAUAGAGGGUGAGAAUCCCGUCUUUGACAUGGACUACCAGUGCUAUGUGAUGCGCUCUCAACGAGUCGAGUUGUUUGGGAAUGCAGCUCAAAAUGGGUGGUAAAUUCCAUCUAAAGCUAAAUACAGGCGAGAGACCGAUAGCGAACAAGUACCGUGAGGGAAAGAUGAAAAGAACUUUGGAAAGAGAGUUAAACAGUACGUGAAAUUGCUGAAAGGGAAACGCUUGAUGUCAGUCAUGUUGGGCAGGGAUCAACCUUGCUUUUUUGCUGGGUGCAUUUCCUGUUCAAUGGGUCAGCAUCAGUUUCUGUCACUGUACAAUGGCUGGAGGAAUGUGGCACUCUUUGGAGUGUGUUAUAGCCUUUGGUCAUAUGCAGUGGGUAGGGACUGAGGAACUCAGCAUGGCUUUUACAGCUUGUUGCUUAGGAUGCUGGCAUAAUGGCCUUAAGCGACCCGUCUUGAAACACGGACCAAGGAGUCUAACAUGCCUGCGAGUGUUUGGGUGGCAAACUCGAGUGCGAAAUGAAAGUGAAAGUUGAGACCUCUGUCAUGGAGGGCAUCGACGCCCAGACCAGAGUCUUUGACAAAGGAUCUGCGGUAGAGCAUGUAUGUUGGGACCCGAAAGAUGGUGAACUAUGCCUGAAUAGGGUGAAGCCAGAGGAAACUCUGGUGGAGGCUCGUAGCGAUUCUGACG
rnacentral:rRNA from 1 species